UACGGAGGGUGCAAGCGUUGUCCGGAUUUAUUGGGUUUAAAGGGUGCGUAGGCGGCUAUUUAAGUCAGUGGUGAAAUCCUGCAGCUUAACUGUAGAAUUGCCAUUGAUACUGGAUAGCUUGAGUACAGACGAGGUAGGCGGAAUUUAUGGUGUAGCGGUGAAAUGCAUAGAUACCAUAAAGAACUCCUAUUGCGAAGGCAGCUUACUAGGCUGUAACUGACGCUGAGGCACGAAAAGCGUGGGGAUCAAACAGG
rnacentral:rRNA from 1 species